ACCCGAUCCCAUCCCGAACUCGGAAGUUAAGCUCUUCAGCGCCGAAGGUAGUGCCAGGGAAACUUGGUGUGAGAAAAGGUCGAUGCACCCU
rnacentral:rRNA from 1 species